ACACCACAGAUUGAAACAUCCUGAGAAUUUUUAGAUGUAAUAUCAAUAUGGUGUAGUUAAUGUUAAUGAUGUUAGAGAUGAGUUGUUGUAAUUUAUGGGUAUUUUUUACUGGGUUUAUUCUAAAUUUACAGUUGAAAUAACUGUUAAACACCUCGGUAGUUUCGUUAAACAAAUGCUUAUAACGUGUGUGUGGAGGUAUUUCGAACCAGCAGCAAUGGUUUAGUGGUCUGGAAUUUAUGGGAAAUAAUUUACUGUGGAUUUUAUGGUAUGCCGAAUCGAAAAGGGGAUUGAUAUUUGGCAAUAGCGGAGCUAUUGGUGUAGGGGUGAGCAUUCGGUUCAA
rnacentral:misc_RNA from 1 species